rnacentral:rRNA from 1 species
CAGUAGCCACGGUAAUACGUAGGGUGCAAGCGUUAAUCGGAAUUACUGGGCGUAAAGCGUGCGCAGGCGGUUAUAUAAGUCAGAUGUGAAAUCCCCGGGCUCAACCUGGGAACUGCAUUUGAGACUGUAUGGCUAGAGUGUGUCAGAGGGGGGUAGAAUUCCACGUGUAGCAGUGAAAUGCGUAGAUAUGUGGAGGAAUACCGAUGGCGAAGGCAGCCCCCUGGGAUAACACUGACGCUCAUGCACGAAAGCGUGGGGAGCAAACAGGAUUAGAUACCCCGGUAGUCCCUGUCUCUUAUAC